GAUGAACGCUGGCGGCGUGCCUAAUACAUGCAAGUCGAGCGAACAGACGAGGAGCUUGUUCCUCUGACGUUAGCAGCGGACGGGUGAGUAACACGUGGAUAACCUACCUAUAAGACUGGGAUAACUUCGGGAAACCGGUGCUAAUACCGGAUAAUAUCUUUAACCACAAGGUUCAAUAGUGAAAGACGGUUUUGCUUUCACUUAUAGAUGGAUCCCGGCGGCAUUAGCUAGUUGGUAAGUAAACGGCUUACCAAGGCAACGAUGCGUACCCGACCGGAGAGGGGGAUCGGCAACACUGGAACUGAGACACGGUCCAGACUCCUACGGGAGGCAGCAGUAGGGAAUCUUCCGCAAUGGGCGAAAGCCUGACGGAGAAACGCCGCGGGAGUGAUGAAGGUCUUCGGAUCGUAAACCUCUGUUAUUAGGGAAGAACAAAUGUGUAAUUAACUAUGCACGUCGUGACGGUACCUAACCAGAAAGCCACGGCUAACUACGUG
rnacentral:rRNA from 1 species